GGUGAGUUGGCAGAGCGGUCUAUUGCACUGACCUGAAAAAUCGGCGGACUUUCGCGGGUCCCGUGGGUUCGAAUCCCACACUCACCGCCA
rnacentral:tRNA from 1 species